rnacentral:rRNA from 1 species
CGCCGCGUGCGGGAUGACAGCCUUCGGGUCGUAAACCGCUUUUAGCAGGAACGAUUGUGACGGUACCUGCAGAAAAAGCACCGGCUAACUACGUGC